rnacentral:rRNA from 1 species
GAGUUUGAUCAUGGCUCAGAGUGAACGCUGGCGGCAGGCCUAACACAUGCAAGUCGAGCGGCAGCGCGGGGGCAACCCUGGCGGCGAGCGGCGGACGGGUGAGGAAUGCAUCGGAAUCUACCUCGUUGUGGGGGAUAACCUCGGGAAACCGGGACUAAUACCGCAUACGACCUACGGGUGAAAGUGGGGGACCGCAAGGCCUCACGCGAUGAGAUGAGCCGAUGCCGGAUUAGCUAGUUGGCGGGUAAAGGCCCACAAGGCGACGAUCCGUAGCUGGUCUGAGAGGAUGAUCAGCCACACUGGAAACUGAGACACGGUCCAGACUCCUACGGGAGGCAGCAGUGGGGAAUAUUGGACAAAUGGGCGCAAGCCUGAUCCAGCCAAUGCCGCGUGUGUGAAGAAAGG